UGAUAGAUUAGUAGAUGAUAAGUAGAUUGAUAGGUGAUUGAUGAUAGACUGAUAGAUAAGUAAAUUGAUAGGUGAUUGAUUAAUGAUAAAGAGGUAGAUAGAUGAUUGAUGGAUAGAUGGUUGGUGAUAGGUAAGUAGAUAGAAAGAGGUAGAUUUUUUAAUAGACAGAGAGGGCACAGGGACCAAACCUGCUUUUACUGCGAACCCACCACCCUCACGCCCCCAUCUCCUCCCUCGGGCCCCACCUGGGAACACCAUCACGUGGGACUGAAGCUCCUAUUGUAGCAGCCGUGGCAGAGGCACAUGGGGCCCAGCUCCUCUGGGGGUCUCCUGCAAGACCAAGCCCCAGCCUCCCCGUGACGAUCAGCUCCUUUCCCGGCGCCCCCUGCCUCACCCCUGCUUCUGGCAUCUAUUUCCAACUAAAGUGCCCAGACUGAGCCAGGACCCCGCCGACCCGGAAUACAAGCAGAACAUCACUCUGGGCGACGUCACAGGGAGACCGACGCAGCUUCUCUUAUUCUCGCCAGUUUUAUUCCUCCACCUGGAAAGUGAGAACGUGGACCUACACUUUUUCCCUGCACCACAACAUUCCUGGGGCCAAGCCUGCUCCCUUUCUUGUCAUCCUGGACUUUCUGCCUCUCCUGCUGCUGACAGCCCGGCACCCGUGAGCCCCACAACCCUGCGGGCGGCAUUGCCAGUCCUUAAAAGCAGGGUGGCACCUGCAUGGUGCUCCCGCACACCUGUGACUCGGAGGGCUCCCUCUGCCUUCCUGGUCUCCAGGGGCGUCUGCGUGGGCAGGAGCCUAGCAAGCCUGGACACGGUGAUCAGUUCCAUUUGGAGGGUGCGUGGUGGGCGGGGACAAGCCCUCUGGCUCCUCGCCACACAACAGGAGCGAGGGGUCUGCAGCCCCCUCUGCAGAGCCCUUUUUCCCUCCACCCACUUCCUCUGUGGCUCCUGCCUUCCCGCUCUGCUUUCCAGACCUGUGCCCAGGAAAACGACUUCUGGCUGCACUUGGAGGCACCAUUGGCUGCACCGGGGCGGUAGGGGGAGCAAUGGUGGGGAGCCCAGCUCUUUGU
rnacentral:lncRNA from 1 species